rnacentral:rRNA from 1 species
ACGGAGGGUGCAAGCGUUAAUCGGAAUUACUGGGCGUAAAGCGCACGCAGGCGGUUUGUUAAGUCAGAUGUGAAAUACCCGGGCUCAACCUGGGAACUGCAUCUGAUACUGGAAAGCUUGAGUAUCGUAGAGGGAGGUAGAAUUCCAGGUGUAGCGGUGAAAUGCGUAGAUAUCGGGAGGAAUACCGGUGGCGAAGGCGGCCCCCUGGACUAAGACUGACGCUCAUGUGCGAAAGCGUGGGGAGCAAACAG